CAGUAGCCACGGUAAUACAGAGGGUGCGAGCGUUAAUCGGAUUUACUGGGCGUAAAGCGUGCGUAGGCGGCUUCUUAAGUCGGAUGUGAAAUCCCUGAGCUUAACUUAGGAAUUGCAUUCGAUACUGGGAAGCUAGAGUAUGGGAGAGGAUGGUAGAAUUCCAGGUGUAGCGGUGAAAUGCGUAGAGAUCUGGAGGAAUACCGGUGGCGAAGGCGGCCCCCUGGACAAAGACUGACGCUCAGGUGCGAAAGCGUGGGGAGCAAACAGGAUUAGAGACCCCUGUAGUCCCUGUCUCUUAUAU
rnacentral:rRNA from 1 species